UUUACAUUUGCAAACUUUGGGAGACAUGUUUUUUUUUUUUUAUUUCCCGUGCUCCCUGUUCUCCUGAGAGUCCGCUGCGCCGCCCAGCCUGUCGCCCCCGGAGGUGAGCCCUCCCUCCUGCCUGCUGCCAGCUGACCUGUGCCCGGCUCGCGGGCAGCAGCCUCUGCCCGGCGAGCCCCCGGCAGCUGUCGGCGCGAUG
rnacentral:other from 1 species